AAUAUUCUUAGAGUUCUUCAUCUUGAUUAUUCUUACU
rnacentral:sRNA from 1 species